rnacentral:rRNA from 1 species
UACGGAGGGGGCUAGCGUUGUUCGGAAUUACUGGGCGUAAAGCGCACGUAGGCGGACCUACAAGUCGGGGGUGAAAUCCCGGGGCUCAACCCCGGAACUGCCUCCGAAACUGUCGGUCUGGAGGUCGAGAGAGGCGAGUGGAAUUCCGAGUGUAGAGGUGAAAUUCGUAGAUAUUCGGAGGAACACCAGUGGCGAAGGCGGCUCGCUGGCUCGAUACUGACGCUGAGGUGCGAAAGCGUGGGGAGCAAACAGG